rnacentral:lncRNA from 13 species
CUAGGGUGUGCACCAGUGCGGACCAGUUGCUGGGCACCCCAACAAUUAUGACUCUUAACAUAGUCACAGAGAUGGCGAGACUAACAUCAAGGGGAGUACUGUUCCCACCAGGGGAACACAUUGAACAUCACCACCGACUUAGGGUCAAAUUAAGAAACUUUCACAAAUAGUGGAGGAAAACCUGAAGAAAGCAGGACAGCCAGUCAUGGUAAUUAGGAUGACGGUCAUCACAAAAUCUGCACUGCAGGAAAGGUUGAAAGAAGUUAAAGAUGAGAGAAGACGAUACCAGAUGGAAACUGGGAUUGACAGAAAGGAACAAAGAGUACUGGACAUGCAGAAGCAUCUGUUAUCUGAAAGUUACAGAGAUCUCCAGCUGCAGUGCCUGCUGACUUCAGUGCUUUGCUGGUGCAGAGAGAGUAACCUUUCGAGAAGUCAACACAUUUUGGAGUUUGGGAACCUUGGAACUUUGGAACUGGAACUUGCAGGAGCUAAUCUUGAGACACACAGGCCAAGCCUGGAGACCCAUCUGCAAAAUUGCAGAAACUACUUCGAGGCAGCUAAUUAACAGCUCAGCCAUUGUUGAGAUGACGGCAGCCCACAAGCCAGGUGGACUGGGACCCAAGAUGGCGACUUGAACAUGACACUCUGACACUGUACUCAGCCUAAUUCUUGCACGCCUUCCUUAUCAAGUUUUUCCUUUUUAAACCCCUGCCACAAAAUUGAAGUGAUUUCUUUGGAUGGGAAUCUGGCCAAUUCCACUUUACUAGUUUCAGUUAAUAAAGUCACUUUCUUUCUGCCA